rnacentral:rRNA from 1 species
GACGAACGCUGGCGGCGUGCUUAACACAUGCAAGUCGAACGGAAAGGCCCUGCUUUUGUUGGGUGCUCGAGUGGCGAACGGGUGAGUAACACGUGAGUAACCUGCCCUUGACUUUGGGAUAACUUCAGGAAACUGGGGCUAAUACCGGAUAGGAGCUCCUGCUGCAUUGUGGGGGUUGGAAAGUUUCGGCGGUUGUGGAUGGACUGGCGGCUUAUCAGCUUGUUGGUGGGGUAGUUGCUUACCAAGGCUUUGACGGGUAGCCGGCCUGAGAGGGUGACCGGCCACAUUGGGACUGAGAUACGGCCCAGACGCCUACGGGAGGCAGCAGUGGGGAAUAUUGCACAAUGGGCGGAAGCCUGAUGCAGCAACGCCGCGUGCGGGAUGACGGCCUUCGGGUUGUAAACCGCUUUCGCCUGUGACGAAGCGUGAGUGACGGUAAUGGGUAAAGAAGCACCGGCUAACUACGUG